rnacentral:rRNA from 1 species
GACGAACGCUGGCGGCGUGCUUAACACAUGCAAGUCGAACGGUAAGGCCCCGUCUUUGUUGGUUGCUCGGGUUGCGAACCGAAGGGUAGCGCAUGAGUAACCUACCCUGCACUCUUGUUUAGCAUCAGGACAUUGAGGCGUAUCUCGGACAGGAGCUCCUGCUGCUUUGUGGUGGUGGGUAAGGUUCGGCGGUUGGUUAUGUACGCGCGGCGCAUCAGCCUGUUGGGGGGGUAGGUGCUUAGCUGGGCUAUGACGGGUAGCCGGCCUGAGAGGGUGAGCGGCCACAUUGGGACUGAGAUACGGGCCAGACGCGUGCGGGAGGGAGCAGUGGGGAAUAGUGCACAGUGGGCGGAAGGCGGAUGCAGUAAAGCCGCGUGCGGGAUGAAGGCCUUCGGGUUGUAAACCGCUUUCGCCUGUGAUGAAGCGUGAGUGACGGUAAUGGGUAAAGAAGCACCGGCUAACUACGUG